rnacentral:rRNA from 1 species
CAGUAGUCAUAUGCUUGUCUCAAAGCUUAAGCCAUGCAAGUCUCAGUACAGACUAUAUUAAAGUGAAACCGCAAAAGGCUCAGUAAACCAGUUUUAAUUUACUAGAGUUAACUUGACUGUGCUUGGAUAACUGUGGUAAUUCUAGAGCUAAUACAUGCAACAAAGCCGUGACCAUUCGUGGUCAGGGCGCUUUUAUUAGACCAAGACCAAUCGCCCGGCCAGUCCGGGCGUUAAGUUGAGGAACCUAGAUAACACAGCAGAUCGCAUGGUCUUUGUACCGGCGACCUAUCUUUCAAAUGCCUGACUUAUCAACUGACGAUGGUAGACUCUGUGUCUACCAUGGCUGUUACGGGUAACGGGGAAUCAGGGUUCGAUUCCGGAGAGGGAGCCUGAGAAACGGCUACCACAUCCAAGGAAGGCAGCAGGCACGCAAAUUACCCACUCCCGGAACGGGGAGGUAGUGACAAAAAAUAACGAUACGGGACUCGAUAUGAGGCCUCGUAAUCGGAAUGAGUACACUCUAAAUCCUUUAACAAAAAUCUAUUGGAGGGCAAGUCUGGUGCCAGCAGCCGCGGUAAUUCCAGCUCCAAUAGCGUAUAUUAAAGUUGUUGCGGUUAAAAAGCUCGUAGUUGGUUCUGCGUCCCGCGCUGUCGGUACACCGUUUGUCGGUGACACUGGCAUGACGCGGGAUGUCCUGUCGGUGGCGGCGGAGACCAUAUCGCCGUCGGCUAACACCGCGGCGUGUUGGCCUUCUGUCGCCGGCUUUAUCCUACCGCGGUGCUCUUCACUGAGUGUCGAGGUAGGCCGACACGUUUACUUUGAACAAAUUAGAGUGCUUAAAGCAGGCAAAAAUCUCUGCCAGAAUAGUGGUGCAUGGAAUAAUGGAACAGGACCUUGGUUCUAUUCUGUUGGUCUCCGGAACACAAGGUAAUGAUCAAUGUGGACAGGCGGGGGCAUUCGUAUUGCGGCGUUAGAGGUGAAAUUCUUGGAUCGUCGCAAGACGCACUAGAGCGAAAGCAAUUGCCAAGUAUGUCUUAAUUGAUCAAGAACGAAAGUUAGAGGUUCGAAGGCGAUCANA